CAGUAAUUCAGUAUUAGUAAUUUAGUAUAUAUAGUGUCACGUGGUAUGCACAUGGUGACUAAGAGUAAGACUAGGGUUUUUGACUUAAUCACAAUCCACAGCCGCUUCUCUUUACUUUCCACAAACUCUUUCCGCCUCUUUCCUUACGAAUCAAAAGCGCCUCUCCCCCGCCUCUCAAAACCUAAUUCCCUUCAUCGGCUUGCUUAAAAUGACUGAUAAUAUCACAGAUAAGGACUAUGAAUCACUCGGUGAUGAUGAAGCAGAUAUAUUAGAGAAUGCUACUCCUGAACAUCCGGCUACAGAACUACCAACUGAAGGUUCUUCGAAGAAGAUCUUAAUAGCACCUGGUACAAAGAGAAAGAGAUCAAAGGUGUGGAAAACAUUUAAUCUUGUAAUCGGAGCUGAUAAGGUAUCCAGGGCAGUAUGCACGAAGUGUGGUUACAUAUGUAUCUAUGAUUCAAAGAAUGGAACUGGAAAUUUGUUGAAGCAUCAAAAGGCAUGUAUAUUUCGUGUCUAUGGGUAUAAUUAUUUCGGGUCAA